rnacentral:rRNA from 1 species
GAUGAACGCUGGCGGCGUGCCUAAUACAUGCAAGUCGAGCGAACGGACGAGAAGCUUGCUUCUCUGAUGUUAGCGGCGGACGGGUGAGUAACACGUGGAUAACCUACCUAUAAGACUGGGAUAACUUCGGGAAACCGUAGCUAAUACCGGAUAAUAUUUUGAACCGCAUGGUUCAAAAGUGAAAGACGGUCUUGCUGUCACUUAUAGAUGGAUCCGCGCUGCAUUAGCUAGUUGGUAAGGUAACGGCUUACCAAGGCAACGAUGCAUAGCCGACCUGAGAGGGUGAUCGGCCACACUGGAACUGAGACACGGUCCAGACGCCUACGGGAGGCAGCAGUAGGGAAUCUUCCGCAAUGGGCGAAAGCCUGACGGAGCAACGCCGCGUGAGUGAUGAAGGUCUUCGGAGCGUAAAACUCUGUUAUUAGGGAAGAACAUAUGUGUAAGUAACUGUGCACAUCUUGACGGUACCUAAUCAGAAAGCCACGGCUAACUACGUG